rnacentral:lncRNA from 1 species
AGUGACCACAGUGACCACCAGAGUAACCAAAGUGACCAUCAGAGUGACCACAGUGACCAUCAGAGUGACCAGAGUGACCAGAGUGACCAUCAGAGUGACCACAGUGACCACAGUGACCACUCCAGUGACCACCAGAGUGACCAGAGUGACCACAGUGACCACCCCAGUGACCACCAGAGUGACCACAGCAGUGACCGGGGCGGGGGCGGGGCCCAGGGGAGGCCCCUGGGAAAUAAAAGGUGGUGGAGCAAAAUGGCGGCUGUGGGCGUGGUCAAUGUGAUGACGUCAUUGGGGUUUAUUGGGGGCGUGGUCAGGGUGAUGACAUCACUAGGAGGAAUCACUUGUGGGCGUGGUCAGUGUGAUGACAUCACAGGGAUUUUGGGGCGUGGUUGAUGUGACGUCACUGGGAUUUGGGGGCGUGGUCAGUGUGAUGACAUCACUGUGAUUUGGGGGCGUGGUCGGUGUGAUGACAUCACAGGGAUUUUGGGGCGUGGUUGAUGUGACGUCACUGGGAUUUGGGGGCGUGGUCAGUGUGAUGACGUCACUGGGAUUUCUGGGCGUGGUCAGUGCGAUGACAUCACUGUGAUUUGGGGGCGUGUUCGAUGUGAUGUCAGUGAUUUGGGGGUGUGGUCGGCG